rnacentral:rRNA from 1 species
GGAUACCUACGGGACGCAGCAGUGGGGAAUAUUGCACAAUGGGGGAAACCCUGAUGCAGCAACGCCGCGUGAGUGAAGAAGUAUUUCGGUAUGUAAAGCUCUAUCAGCAGGGAAGAAAAUGACAGUACCUGACUAAGAAGCCCCGGCUAACUACGUGCCAGCAGCCGCGGUAAUACGUAGGGGGCAAGCGUUAUCCGGAUUUACUGGGUGUAAAGGGAGCGUAGACGGCUGCGCAAGUCUGGAGUGAAACGCAUGAGCUCAACUCAUGCAUGGCUUUGGAAACUGGAGGACUGGAGAGCAGGAGG